GAUGAACGCUGGCGGCGUGCCUAAUACAUGCAAGUCGAGCGAACAGACGAGGAGCUUGCUCCUCUGACGUUAGCGGCGGACGGGUGAGUAACACGUGGAUAACCUACCUAUAAGACUGGGAUAACUUCGGGAAACCGGAGCUAAUACCGGAUAAUAUAUUGAACCGCAUGGUUCAAUAGUGAAAGACGGUUUUGCUGUCACUUAUAGAUGGAUCCGCGCCGCAUUAGCUAGUUGGUAAGGUAACGGCUUACCAAGGCAACGAUGCGUAGCCGACCUGAGAGGUUGAUCGGCCACACUGGAACUGAGACACGGUCCAGACUCCUAAGGGAGGCAGCAGUAGGGAAUCUUCCGCAAUGGGCGAAAGCCUGACGGAGCAACGCCGCGUGAGUGAUGAAGGUCUUCGGAUCGUAAAACUCUGUUAUUAGGGAAGAACAAAUGUGUAAGUAACUAUGCACGUCUUGACGGUACCUAAUCAGAAAGCCACGGCUAACUACGUG
rnacentral:rRNA from 1 species